CAAGCUGAAGGUCAGACACUCACAUCCAAGGCAUUCACAUGGACACCUCCUCCUCCACCACCAAAGACACCAACACACAAAGUUGAGAAAUCUAUGCUGCUGGGGUUUGGAUCCAAAUCACUUGUCCAGACACCUGUGGAAACUCCAGAGUUACCACCUACAAGUCCAAAAAGUCCCAG